AGAAUUUUAAGUUAAAAAACUAAAGGUUUUCAAGGCCUUUAUUAGACAGAUUUGUUUAGAUUCUG
rnacentral:tRNA from 1 species